CUCGCCGUAGUUCAAUGGAUAGAACGGGCGCCUCCUAAGCGCCAGAUACAGGUUCGAUUCCUGUCGGCGGGACCA
rnacentral:tRNA from 2 species